ACAAGCAGCGGAGCAUGUGGUUUAAUUCGAAGCAACGCGAAGAACCUUACCAGGGCUUUGACAUGCCGCUGACCGGUUUAGAGAUAGAUCUUUACCCUUCGGGUACAGCGGACACAGGUGGUGCAUGGUUGUCGUCAGCUCGUGUCGUGAGAUGUUGGGUUAAGUCCCGCAACGAGCGCAACCCUUGUCUUUAGUUGCCAUCAUUAAGUUGGGCACUCUAAAGAGACUGCCGAUGACAAAUCGGAGGAAGGUGGGGAUGACGUCAAAUCAUCAUGCCCUUUAUGUCCUGGGCUACACACGUGCUACAAUGGUCGGUACAACGAGAAGCAAGUCAGCGAUGGCAAGCAAAUCUCUAAAAGCCGAUCCCAGUUCGGAUUGCAGGCUGCAACUCGCCUGCAUGAAGUCGGAGUUGCUAGUAAUCGCGGAUCAGAAUGCCGCGGUGAAUGCGUUCCCGGGUCUU
rnacentral:rRNA from 2 species